rnacentral:rRNA from 1 species
AGAGUUUGAUCCUGGCUCAGGACGAACGCUGGCGGCGUGCCUAAUACAUGCAAGUCGAGCGGACAGAUGGGAGCUUGCUCCCUGAUGUUAGCGGCGGACGGGUGAGUAACACGUGGGUAACCUGCCUGUAAGACUGGGAUAACUCCGGGAAACCGGGGCUAAUACCGGAUGGUUGUUUGAACCGCAUGGUUCAAACAUAAAAGGUGGCUUCGGCUACCACUUACAGAUGGACCCGCGGCGCAUUAGCUAGUUGGUGAGGUAACGGCUCACCAAGGCGACGAUGCGUAGCCGACCUGAGAGGGUGAUCGGCCACACUGGGACUGAGUCACGGCCCAGACUCCUACGGGAGGCAGCAGUAGGGAAUCUUCCGCAAUGGACGAAAGUCUGACGGAGCAACGCCGCGUGAGUGAUGAAGGUUUUCGGAUCGUAAAGCUCUGUUGUUAGGGAAGAACAAGUACCGUUCGAAUAGGGCGGUACCUUGACGGUACCUAACCAGAAAGCCACGGCUAACUACGUGCCAGCAGCCGCGGUAAUACGUAGGUGGCAAGCGUUGUCCGGAAUUAUUGGGCGUAAAGGGCUCGCAGGCGGUUUCUUAAGUCUGAUGUGAAAGCCCCCGGCUCAACCGGGGAGGGUCAUUGGAAACUGGGGAACUUGAGUGCAGAAGAGGAGAGUGGAAUUCCACGUGUAGCGGUGAAAUGCGUAGAGAUGUGGAGGAACACCAGUGGCGAAGGCGACUCUCUGGUCUGUAACUGACGCUGAGGAGCGAAAGCGUGGGGAGCGAACAGGAUUAGAUACCCUGGUAGUCCACGCCGUAAACGAUGAGUGCUAAGUGUUAGGGGGUUUCCGCCCCUUAGUGCUGCAGCUAACGCAUUAAGCACUCCGCCUGGGGAGUACGGUCGCAAGACUGAAACUCAAAGGAAUUGACGGGGGCCCGCACAAGCGGUGGAGCAUGUGGUUUAAUUCGAAGCAACGCGAAGAACCUUACCAGGUCUUGACAUCCUCUGACAAUCCUAGAGAUAGGACGUCCCCUACGGGGGCAGAGUGACAGGUGGUGCAUGGUUGUCGUCAGCUCGUGUCGUGAGAUGUUGGGUUAAGUCCCGCAACGAGCGCAACCCUUGAUCUUAGUUGCCAGCAUUCAGUUGGGCACUCUAAGGUGACUGCCGGUGACAAACCGGAGGAAGGUGGGGAUGACGUCAAAUCAUCAUGCCCCUUAUGACCUGGGCUACACACGUGCUACAAUGGACAGAACAAAGGGCAGCGAAACCGCGAGGUUAAGCCAAUCCCACAAAUCUGUUCUCAGUUCGGAUCGCAGUCUGCAACUCGACUGCGUGAAGCUGGAAUCGCUAGUAAUCGCGGAUCAGCAUGCCGCGGUGAAUACGUUCCCGGGCCUUGUACACACCGCCCGUCACACCACGAGAGUUUGUAACACCCGAAGUCGGUGAGGUAACCUUUUAGGAGCCAGCCGCCGAAGGUGGGACAGAUGAUUGGGGUGAAGUCGUAACAAGGUA